rnacentral:rRNA from 1 species
UACGAAGGGGGCUAGCGUUGUUCGGAAUUACUGGGCGUAAAGCGCACGUAGGCGGACUACUAAGUCAGGGGUGAAAUCCCGGGGCUCAACCCCGGAACUGCCUUUGAUACUGAUAGUCUCGAGUCCGGAAGAGGUGAGUGGAAUUCCGAGUGUAGAGGUGAAAUUCGUAGAUAUUCGGAGGAACACCAGUGGCGAAGGCGGCUCACUGGUCCGGUACUGACGCUGAGACGCGGAAGCGUGGGGAGCAAACAGG